rnacentral:rRNA from 1 species
AGACCCGAAACCCGGUGAUCUAGCCAUGGGCAGGUUGAAGGUUGGGUAACACUAACUGGAGGACCGAACCGACUAAUGUUGAAAAAUUAGCGGAUGACCUGUGGCUGGGGGUGAAAGGCCAAUCAAACCGGGAGAUAGCUGGUUCUCCCCGAAAGCUAUUUAGGUAGCGCCUCGUGAAUUCAUCUCCGGGGGUAGAGCACUGUUUCGGCUAGGGGGCCAUCCCGGCUUACCAACCCGAUGCAAACUGCGAAUACCGGAGAAUGUUAUCACGGGAGACACACGGCGGGUGCUAACGUCCGUCGUGAAGAGGGAAACAACCCAGACCGCCAGCUAAGGUCCCAAAGUCAUGGUUAAGUGGGAAACGAUGUGGGAAGGCCCAGACAGCCAGGAUGUUGGCUUAGAAGCAGCCAUCAUUUAAAGAAAGCGUAAUAGCUCACUGGUCGAGUCGGCCUGCGCGGAAGAUGUAACGGGGCUAAACCAUGCACCGAAGCUGCGGCAGCGAACGUAUCACCCAAGACAACUUUACGGAGUUGACGAUUGACGGAGCGAAGCGACGUCAAAGCGUUCAUUAAAGUCGAGUUGGCUUAGGGAUACGUUCGUUGGGUAGGGGAGCGUUCUGUAAGCCUGUGAAGGUGGCCUGUGAGGGUUGCUGGAGGUAUCAGAAGUGCGAAUGCUGACAUAAGUAACGAUAAAGCGGGUGAAAAGCCCGCUCGCCGGAAGACCAAGGGUUCCUGUCCAACGUUAAUCGGGGCAGGGUGAGUCGACCCCUAAGGCGAGGCCGAAAGGCGUAGUCGAUGGGAAACGGGUUAAUAUUCCCGUACUUGGUGUUACUGCGAAGGGGGGACGGAGAAGGCUAUGUUGGCCGGGCGACGGUUGUCCCGGUUUAAGCGUGUAGGUGUGUGUUCCAGGUAAAUCCGGUU